UGUUGAAACAACAGUUCCCAUACAAUCACUGAAGUUAAGCAAUGAUGAGCCUGAUCAGUACCUAGAUGGUUGACUAUGUGGGAAUAUCAGGUGUUGAAA